GACUGCCUCUCCACUGACCAUGCCUCUGAUGUUGUCUUCGUGGGAAUCCAUAGUCCUCUCCCCAAGCUGUGACUAAUUACCCUGAGAAACAAAUUGGAGGCUGACUAGGAAACCAGGGCUCUGGCACUGAGUCAGUAGCGGCUAUGAAAGAAGAGAGCCUGAAGGAGAAGGUAUUAAUAAUAGCCUCCUUGUUGAGGUCAUGAAAGUAAAAGCACGACUGAAGAACUGCACCAGAGUGAAGAAGACUAAAGA